GUUCCCUUCAGGCAUUCACUUACGGGGCUCAUGUCCCAGCUCUGGCUCCUCCACCCUCAGCUGGAGGCCACAGGCAGGCCUCCAAAUGAUAAUAUUUUAGAAGUGUAAUAGAACCCUUUAUGAAAACACCAAGCCAAGACAUCUAAAACACUGACUCUCAUUUGUUGGAGGUCCUGCUGGUUUCAACACCAUGAGGUCACCAGCACGCUGCAUCAUCCAUCUCCCUGUGGAAUCCGGAGGACAGGGGACUCCCCCACCCCACUGGCCAGGUUCCUGCGAAGCCUGGAUGGCUCUGACAAGAACAGCCUUCAGGAGAUGUCUCGUGUAGUCUUCAUAUAAACAGCAUCAUGCGGCAUCCAGAGCCAACGAUUCUAUCGCCUCUCCCCAAAUGCCCACUUCCUGGCAGAGACACCAGGAAAGCAUCCCUUCAAUGAAAUGUGCCGGAGCCCAGCUGAUUGUGUAAAUGAUGUAGAAAAGAAAGGGGCCCCCAUGCAUAGUGGCACCUGUCCAGACUCCUAAGGCGCUGGCUAGAGCCCCAGGGAGCUGAUGAGAGCCUGCUCGCGCUGGUCCUGAGAAUCAUGUUUUCCACCUAAUGGACAACACUUGGAGCGGGUCUCAUACCUGUGACCCAAGGGGCCCUCAUUCCUCAAAUCCUACCCCAAGGAGACUUGACAGAAAGGGUAUUUCUCCAGUGAGGAGCAGUGCCCCUCAUUUACUCUCCCUCCACACACCGGGCCAAGCUGUUAGUUGCGAACAUCUGUGCAACUCAUGAGCCCUGUCCCUGUUUUCUUCCUGGUCCCCUUGGCACUUUGGCUUUCUCAAUUAUCCAUUCCAAGUUCAGAGUGUUGUAGGCUUGCAUAAGGCUACCGGGACACCUGCAUGACUAGAUGCCCAUGCUCAAAUCAGCCAUGGUUGUGUGUGUGUGUGUGUGUGUGUGUAAGUCAGAGGGCAAUACUGGGGUCUUCCUCAAUCUCCAUUUUUUUUUUUUUUUUUUGAGAGUCUCUUGCUAACCUGAAGCUUCUCAAUUUGGCUAGACUAAUUGGUCAGCCGCCCCCAGGGAUCCUGCUGUCCCCACCUCGCCAUCACAUCUGGCUUUUUCUGCAGCCUGAGGAUCCUAAUUCAGGUCUCCGUGCUUGCAGACACUCUACAAGCGAAGCCAUUUCCCCGACCCCUAGUUUUACUUUGGAGGAGUGCAUCCCUGUUCAGUGACACUCCAGAAGGAUUUCCAGCCUUUGACAUUUAGCUACAUGCUUGGCUCAGAUCGAAAAGGAUUCCUCGGCGACUCCCCGGGGCUCCUGCAUUGUCUCCAACCCUUCCCGGUCCUCACAGCAUCUUCUGCUCAUGCCAGGCCGACAGGAGCCCAUGUGGUCAUUGUGACCAUUCCAGCGGAAGAAUUCCGGGUAGUCUCCGUGCUCCAGGAUGAACUGCUGGCCUCGGAAGUCAGGGUGAUCAAAGCAGACCCAGGCUCCACUCUCCACCCGGAUGGAGUUCACUCGGUUCAUAAAGCCUCGGUCCUGGAAGUUGUCACAGUCCCCAAAGACCUCCAGCUUCCGUCCUGUGAAGUGCUUGCCCUCGUAGAGAGUGAUCUGGAAAGGCCAGAUCCCAGGUGACACCUGCCUUGACUCCUGCUACCCGUAGUAGUAGGGCCCUACCUACAGGACUUAGCAUCCAAGUGUUUUCAGUGCCUGAGUCCUAACUACAGACCACCCGGAUGCCAAGGAUUCAAGGUGUCAGGAUUUGCCAGGCCCGCUGGUAUUCGGAGUAUAUUGAAGCCUCAAGAGUAAACACAGCUGCUGGGGAGCUGAGCUGGUGGCCCUGGGAUGGGCUCUGAGAUCAAAGGAGAGAGCCGCUGCAGGAGGCUGAAGGGUCCUAAUGAGCCAAAUGGGGGCUCCUGGGAACAGCCUGUGGGCUGCUCUGCUCCCAGGAGAGAAGAGAGUACUUUUGUCAGCAUUGCACAGAGAAGAGCUUCAAGCCCAGGGGUUUGCUCUGGGAAGUUACUCAAGGCAGACAGCAAACUGCAGGUCACCCUUGACACCAUCUCCUGAGCACCACCACCAGGAACAGCCUGUUGCCUUCCCAGGCACCCACACUCCAAAGCACACCCACCCCAUUGUUUGUCUCUGAUUACUGAC